GUCCCUGUAGCUUAAUGGAAAAAGCGUCUCCCUGCGAAGGAGAAGAGUGACUGUUCGACUCAGUCCAGGGACA
rnacentral:tRNA from 1 species